UCAUGAGAUAAAUUCAUUUCUCUUUCUUCCCUCAUUCAUAAAUAAAAAUAAAGAAACUGAUUCAUCUUCCUUCUUUCCUCUAGUAUCUCACCGGAUGUUAUCUUCAUUCUCCUCUCAAUCGAUAAUUUUCUUCCUCCAUCCUCUUAACUAAGAUUUUUAGAUGAAUGAUGAGUGUAUAUAAUUUUUUUACAUGAUUUCUCUUUCUAGAAUUAUACAAUGUUCAUCUUAAUGAUUCUCAAAUCUAAUUCGUUCUUUUUCUAAUAUUGAGGAAUUUAUGUUCAAAUUCGAAUUAUUUAUAUUUUUGAGGUUUUAAAAAAAUUUCUUUAUUAUUGAACUUUUAUUGUCUGUAAUGGUCAUUUGUUUUUAGGUCAUUUCCUAUUGGAUUUGAAUAUGCAUGUACUAAUUUUUUCGUUAUACUUAUUCAUGUUUGGAUUUAGGUAGUGAGAUGCAAUUUUUAUGGAUGAUUUUGAAUCCAAACUCAAAGAUAAUGGACCAUUUUAGUGAUUGAUUGAAAAAACAUUGGCAUAUUUGAUGAGAGAAGAGGAAAAGUUAACAAAGAUAUUAGAGAUAUUGGAGUACAGACGUCACCCUUGACAAUGUUGGCUUCCUUCCCUUCAUAGCAAGGCGAUGAUGAGUCCAAUAUGGCUACCAAUUAACUGGAAAAAUAAAGGGAUGACCUGCUCAAAUUUACUAAUAAUGAGUUAAGGGAGUAUUUACUUGAGUUUGUUGGUCAAUUUGAAAGACUUGUUGGUGCUAUUGCAAGAAGUAUGGAUGCAAUGCUCUGAAUGUCUGUCGAUAAGAGUGAUCUUCAAAUUUUAAGAAUGAUCGCACACAAGUUUGUUGAAGGAGACACACGCUAUGAGUAAUUUGAGCAAAUCACGUAUGCACACAAAUUCAGCUAAAAGUAGUAAAAGAUCCUUAAAAUGGUGACUUUUGCCAAAUCGAAGAAUUCUUUGAAGCGCGCUGAAGGAAACAAAUUUUGCAAUUAUCUUGCUUUGGUGAUGGUGCGAGAAAAUCUGAGAAAGUUAUGCUUUUUCGGUUCCAUUAUUCGAAUGAUCAAAUUGUCCAAAACAGAAAUGCGUCUGACAUCAACAUAAAGUUUAUAUGGCUUUUGAAUUGCCAAACGAGUUUUGAAUCAAAAAGUAUUGUAUUAGAUGUCUUAUCUUUGAUCUGUUGGAAAAGAGCAUGUUAUAUUAUAGAAGAUAAAGCAUCAUGUAUUAAUUUGCAAGAAUAAAUACUUAAUAUGAAUCACUCGAAGAAGCUUCUUAUUCAUA